UAUUUAAAAACCAGGGCUUUUUUUUUUUAAUAUUGUGCUUUAUCGAUUACAUACAUAAACAACCAAAAGUUACACUGUAAAAGUACCAAAUUAACUUUGUGAUAUCUUGUGUUGCAAAGUAUUCAAGCGUCAAUUUCUUGCAUCCGAAAAAUUUCACACGCUUGCAGUUUUGCUUAAGAACAAGACACAGCUCAAAUAUAUUGUUUGUAAUGGGAAAAAAUAUUUAAUUGAAACAAUGAGAGUAAUUAUAGAAGCUAAUUUUUUUUUAGUUAGAUGAAAUGUCAGGUGUCUUCUGGCCUGAAGUAGAAAUGUUUUAAUUUGCAAACAGUUACAGUAAAUUAAAAAAUUCACAUCACAGGUCCGGUUUCACACCUUAUUUAUUCACGGCCUGAACAUGUUUUACCAGCAAAAUCUGUCACAUUUACACUUGGCGUACAAAAAUCAAUCUCAUUCAUGCCAUUCACUGUAGAAAUUAAAUGCAUCGUUUACAAAAAACGAAAAUCACACAAAAAUGUGAGAAAUAAAACCCCAAUAGAAAAUUUGCAACCACGAGAAUAUCAGCGGCAACCUUUUCAGCAUCUGAUUGCAGACAUUUUUCAGGUGAGAGUUGUAGAGCUAAUUUCAAUUCAAACCCAACUCCAAAACUGCAAACGAAUAUUAAAAGGAACCAGUCUGCUGGAUUGUGUGAAUGAAGACUGCAUUUGACAUUCAGAAACUUAAAACU